rnacentral:tRNA from 1 species
UAGGCGAUUAACUCAAUAGGUAGAGUAUUAGUUUUACAUACUAAAUGUUACAAGUUCAAAUCUUGUAUUGCCUAU